AUGUAGAGAAUAGUAUAGGUGGGAGUACUAAAAAUUUUGAAUUUUUAAAUGGCCUUCGAAUCCUCUUUCUCUAGA
rnacentral:tRNA from 1 species